AGCCCCGUCGUAUAGCUGGUCAAGUAUAGCGCGCUCUGGACGCGUUGACGGCGGUUCGAAUCCGCCCGGGGCUA
rnacentral:tRNA from 1 species